AUUGAACGCUGGCGGCAGGCCUAACACAUGCAAGUCGAGCGGAUGAAGGGAGCUUGCUCCUGGAUUCAGCGGCGGACGGGUGAGUAAUGCCUAGGAAUCUGCCUGGGAGUGGGGGAUAACGUCCGGAAACGGGCGCUAAUACCGCAUACGUCCUGAGGGAGAAAGUGGGGGAUCUUCGGACCUCACGCUAUCAGAUGAGCCUAGGUCGGAUUAGCUAGUUGGUGGGGUAAAGGCCUACCAAGGCGACGAUCCGUAACUGGUCUGAGAGGGUGAUCAGUCACACUGGAACUGAGACACGGUCCAGACUCCUACGGGAAGCAGCAGUGGGGAAUAUUAGACUAGGAGCGAAAGCCUGAUCCAGCCCUGCCGCGUGUGUGAAGAAGAUCUUCGGAUUGUGAAGCACUUUCAGUUGGGAGAAAGGGCAGUAAGUUAAUACCUUGCUGUUUUGACGUUAACAACAGAAUAAGCACCGGCUAACUUCGUG
rnacentral:rRNA from 1 species